UACCGGCAGCACGAGUGAUGACCGCUAUUAUUGGGCCUAAAGCGUCCGUAGCUGGCCACGCAAGUUCGUCGGGAAAUCUGCGCGCUUAACGCGCAGGCGUCCGGUGGAAACUGUGUGGCUUGGGACCGGAAGACCAGAGGGGUACGUCCGGGGUAGGAGUGAAAUCCCGUAAUCCUGGACGGACCACCGGUGGCGAAAGCGCCUCUGGAAGACGGAUCCGACGGUGAGGGACGAAAGCUCGGGUCACGAACCGG
rnacentral:rRNA from 1 species